AGAGAGAGAGAGCGAGCGAGCGCGCGCGCGGGGCGAGUGUGCUCGAGCAGAGUGAGUUUGGUGAGUUGGUGGAGCGAACGGGUGGGUGAGCGGUUGUCCGGAUUUUACCGCUCAUGUAUCUUGUCUCUCUCUCUCUCUCGCUCUCUCUCUCUCGUUCGUUCAUCUCCUCUCUCUCUCUCAUCUGUCGCGCUCCCAAAGAAGAACAAGGAACAAAAACAACCGUGGGAUGACUCACAGGGUGGAGUGAGUGGGGGGGUGGACAUCUGAUGGCACCCCUUGGUUGGAACAUGCUGGAGGGGGGGGGGGGUGCUGAGCGAUGUUGGGAGCGGUUCACGGAGAAGAUGAGCAGCCGGAGCAUCAAGGCAAAGACGAGGAGGAGGUGGGAGGAGGAUGAAGAUGUGCAGGAGGAGACCGCGUGGCGAGAGAACACGGGGAGAGCGGCAAAGGGGAGAGGUUGCGAACGCGGUCGCGACCGCAUGAGCGAAGAGUCCUGAAAGCUCCUGAUUACGUUCCAUUAAUUGUUGCUGCUGCUGCUGCCUUGCUGAUGAAAUGUCGGAAUGCCGAGUGAUGGUGGAGACGCGGCCAAGCAUGCUGCGUGAAGAGACGGUGGUGCGAUGUUGACGGUGAUGCCCGGUCAUGGUGAAUAUGGUGAUGGUAGUGGUGGUGGUGGUGCUGGUGAUAAAGCAGACGCGAUGCCGUUGGCGAUGCUGCUGACUACUGCUGCUGAUGAUGAUUCACCACAGCUGAUGGUGCUGAUGACUAUGUUGAAACACCAUCGAUGAUGAUGAUGAUGGUGGUAGUGUCGGAGUCAAUGAGUGCGCUACACAAGAGUGGAAUGUCAUCUGAAGAGAAAUCAGCGGCAAGGAGAUGCGCGUAAUCUCGCAAUGAUCAUCAUUCUCGUUAUUGCCACUUAAUACGUUCUGCUUAUUAUGUUAUAAUUUUAUUUUGGCAAACAUUUUUGUUGUUGUUAAAGUAAACCAGCAUAUAUAUGUGUUUUAUUUCUUACAACCUUUCUGUUGUGAACUUCACCACAAUACAUCGGCAUAUUGGUGCCGGUGGUGAUCAUCGUCAUGGUACGCGUUGCUACAAGUAUUGGAAGUCAACUCGUGCGGUCGAGAUACGAGAAUGGAUGAUGUUCCGUGGUGCCUGUGGAGAUGCGCCCGAAAGUUCCGCAAGACGUCUCAAGACAUCGUACGACCCUAACGCAAGAAAGAUUGGAUUUAUUAAUUCUUCGAGGAGGAAGGAAAGACGUCUCCGCUUUUCUGCCAACAGUUCGCAGUCUCUCCACCGCGUCAACUCUCCCUCCGUCUCUUGGCACACAAGCGCGUGCGAGCGACGCCGGGAGAUGCAGAGAGACUCGGGGCAGACGUUCAACUUGCACUGGGACAGCGGACUCCGGAGCCUUCUCACCUAGGCCAGGGCAAGGCUGAGCAUGGAGAUAACAGAGAGAGGAGGGAGGGAGAGCGAGCGAGCGAGAGAGCGAGCGAGAGACGGGGCAGGUUCAAGAAAGCACGGGACACUUCCGGAGUCUCAAGGUGAGAAGGCUCGCGAGAGGUUUGGCGACUGCGUUUGGAGGGAGGUCCUCAUCCAGCGGUGGAUCGAUCAAGGCCGACGGACGAAUCGCCCCGGCUACGGCACGCAGAGGAGGAGGUCGCAGACAGAGGGAGAAACAUCGUGGAGACGAUCGAGCGAACGCCGUGCCAAGGAUGGCGACGACCACAACGACGAUGAAGAAGAAGAAUAAGCAAGCGAGGGGUGGGGUUCAGGAGCGGUGACGGCGAUGCGAUGUUGUGGCGCGUGAACUGCUACGGCGCCCAAGGAGGACUGCGAAACCGAGAGACCGCGGGAGGAUUCCGCUCGCCAACUGGAAGGACAGAGUGGAAGAAGAGGAAGGGGAAGAAAAAUCUUGCUCCCGCAUGGAACCCCGUUAAGAAGUUGCCCCCGGACGUAUUUCGUACGCGAUGAUGACGACACGAAAUUUGGAGCGGCGUGGCUAGACGACGUCGCGCGCAGCGACGUCAUCGUCCCCCCCCCCCAAUGACGUCGUUCACGGAUGAUGACGUCACGAGUGGGGAUGUCAUCGCCCCCCCAAUGACGUUGUUCGCGGAUGAUGAGAUCACGCGCAGUGAUGUCGUCGCCCGCAAACGGCGUCAUCGCCCUGGCUGGCAAGACGAAUACUUUUUAGCGCUGGUUCUUUAGUCGCCAAGUUCCGGGAGAUUUGUCAAGUUUUGCUAUGCGGGGGGGGGGGGGGGGGGGCGGUAAAGUCCCUUAGAAGAGCCAAGACAAUUUAAUAUGAAACUUCCUUUCUCGCCACGGACCAUCUUCACGUGACGGCGCGCGUUACGUACGUGUACGUGUGUACGUGCGUGUACGUGUGUACGUGCGUGUACGUGUGUACGUACGUGUACGUGUGUACGUACGUCUAACUUAAUUCGCCACCGUAGGUAGCCAACCGCGCUCAUCGGAGGUGCGAACGGUGCUAACACUUGCCCAGCGCGCUCCGGCGUGCGAGGAAAUGCCCUGGUUUGUUUCGGUAUGGGGGAGUUUAACGACGAAUUAGGAAUUAAAUCGGUUCACAAUCGAUACUUGGGCUCGGAGUCCGAUGCCAGCUUCAUUUUUAUUUGUUGUUGGUUCAAAUCAAACCGCGAGCCCAGUAUUCAAUCGCUGAAGAUGCCCUGCUGUGGGGAAAAAGGUGCGCCACAAUAUUGUCGACACAAAAACACGACUUCAAUUUGACCAUCAUUUAGGAUGCAUUUAAAAUGUAUUGUGCAAAAGAGGACACGCAAAACAUUGAUUGUUAGAAAAAAUAAAAUCAAGAGUAAUAUUUUAAAUGUGUGCAGUCCUGUACAAAUGUGGUGAUAAAAGCCCCACUCCCCCCCCCCCGUAUGACAUCGGACAUGGUUGGUUGUUUUGUCCAUACUUCACCACGCCGGUCAGGGUGGGUUGGUGAGGAUAUCGCUCGCCACCGAUGUGAGCCGUGGCCAGGAAUUUGAGCGCGGGUCGUCCUGUUUACGGUCCAGUGCACCAGCCGCUGCGCCGUCGCACCACUGCUGGAUGAGGGCCUUCCACACGCUGUCGCCACAUCCAUGGUGCGUACGUGCAGCGGUGUCAAAUAAAAUCGAUAUUGAAGAUAAUAAUAAUAAUAAAACUAACUUUAGCGAAUUUGCGCCAUUUUGCUUCCCGCUCGCGGGCUCACCACCGCUCUCUGGAUGCGCCAAUCAAACAAAACAGUCGCGGCUGUAACGAUCCACGCGGAAUAUGCAACGUACGUAGGAGGCGCGGAUAAAAACUCACAACUCAAAUGAACGUCGCGAGUGGCAAUUUCAACGUCGCUUCUGUCGACCAGCACGAAUUAAACGCCUUCAUUUUAUUAUAUUUUUUGGUCGUAGGAGAUAUUUUUUUUAUUUUCUUCUAAAACCACGAUCGUCAAUUAACGGGGAAAGGGGCAGAGAGCGCCCCCACCCCCCCACCCCCACCACCAACCACCCCAGAUUCCGUUCUUGUGCCGAGAGAUUUUGAUUCGGAACCUCGUGCCAAUCCGUGCCGGAGGGCACCUCGGCGGGGGGGGGGGGGGGGGGGGUGUCUUUUGGCCUGCUCCUCCACGCUGGAGUAGUAGGUGGGAGAGGAGCCACGCUUCUUGACUCCAGCACACGUGACCUGCCGGCUAUUAACGAGCGGCACUCAAUGGCACAGUUCUCAUCGCGUUAUUCUGCGCAAAAAUAAAUCACGUUCAACGAAAGAUUUGGCCUUUUUUUAAUAUAUGUAAUGCAACACAUGUAUUUUAUGAUUUCAUAUUUUAUUAUUUGUUUAUAUGCAGCUUAUGGGGGGAAGGGGGGGGGGGUAGCGGAUGGGACGGCGGCUGGCGCGCUGCCCUGUGAACGCGGCCACCCGAGUUCGACUCCCGGCUGUGGCUAACAUCAGCGGUGGCGAGCGAGUGACACCCAAACCGAUCCUGGACCUCCCCGUCUCCUUCGCAAACUCGCGCUGACCAUCGAGGUGAAGUAUGGUCAAACAAAACCCACAUGAUCCAUGCGGCGUGGGAGGGUGGAGAGAGCCCGCUCAUCCAGCAGCGGAUCGAUAAAAGGGCCGUUCGUAUCAUCACGUGACGAACACGAUCGAUGACUCGAUGACAACAAUUGUGUAAAUGUUCAUGGUACAAAAAUAUCACGAAUAAAAUAAAGAAAGCAGACGUUGGGCCUUGGCGCACUGCUAAAAGCUUCAAA